rnacentral:lncRNA from 1 species
UGGCACUGGGUUUUAGCUUCCAAAAGGUGCUGUGGGAAUUGAAGCAGCUUUCCAGAGCAAACUACACAAGGACGUGAGCCAGAGAGAUGUUGCAGAAAGAAAACACGCUUCAACAGAAGAGAUUAAGGUGCAAGUCAGAGUGGCAUUGAAGGCUUCAGAAGAGCAACACAUUGCCUGCAUUUAAACAUGAGCCAUAGCCUAAUUUCUAAAGCUGCUCUAUAAACUCCGCUUGAGAGGCAGCACGAGCCAAAGAAGGAAGAAAACACGUCUGGGAAUGGCAGUGAAUGAAGAAAACAAGUCGGGGUUUCUUCUGUGGUCAGACCAAUGCUAUGAUUCAUGGAAUUGUGAUCGUCAGUCUGCACAGGAAGUGGAGGUCAG